CCCUGUACCUGUCCUGGACUGGCCCCAAGCAAUGUGUCUGGAGCUAUGUAGUUGUGGGUCUGGCCAGUAUUUGGAUGGGAGACCAGCUAGGAACACUGGGCUGCUGCUGGGA
rnacentral:rRNA from 1 species